UUGAAGAGAGAGUUCAAGAGUACGUGAAACCGCCCAGAGGUAAACGGGUGGAUCCGCAAAGUCGGCCCGCGGAAUUCAGCGCGGCGCGCAGACCUGGGCUGCCGUGGCUCGGGAUCCCUGGGACCCAGCCGUGGCGCCGUUCGGGGCUCCGCCGCGUGCACUUUCCGCGGGCAGAGUGCUACAACCGGUUCGGCGGUGGCUAAAAGCUUGCAGGGUUGUAGGUGGGGGCGCUUGCGUCCCUACCAGCCCUUCUGUGACGAGCGGCCGCCGGACCGAGGGAAGGCCGCGCGCUUCGAGGCCACCCUCCCCUCCUGGUGAGUUCGACUGGGAGAGACUGGGCAACCGUGUCUCCCGACCGCUCAUCUGUGAUCGGCGUGGGGCUGGCCGGGCGUGCAUUUUGUCUGUCAAGGUUGGUGGCAAGUAUGUCGGCAUUCCACCCGACCCGUCUUGAAACACGGACCAAGGAGUCUAACAUGCGCGCGAGUCAUUGGGCGGUACGAAACCCAAAGGCGCAGUGAAAGCGAGGGUCGUCUUUCGACGACCCAGGUGGGAUCCAUCCU
rnacentral:rRNA from 1 species